AUUGAACGCUGGCGGCAGGCCUAACACAUGCAAGUCGAACGGAGUGGCGGACGGGUGAGUAAUGCCUAGGAAUCUGCCUGGUAGCGGGGGAUAACGUCCGGAAACGGGCGCUAAUACCGCAUACUAUCGGAUGAACCUAUAUCGGAUUAGCUAGUUGGGGGGGUAAUGGCAUACCAAGGCGACGAUCCGUAACUGGUCUGAGAGGAUGAUCAGUGACACUGGAACUGAGACACGGUCCAGACUCCUACGGUAGGCAGCAGUGGGGAAUAUUGGACAAUGGGCGAAAGCCUGAUGCAGCCAUGCCGCGUGUGUGAAGAAGGUCUUAGGAUUGUAAAGCACUUUAAGUUGGGAGGCGUUACCAACAGAAUAAGCACCGGCUAACUCCGUGCCAGCAGCCGCGGUAAUAC
rnacentral:rRNA from 1 species